rnacentral:rRNA from 1 species
GAUCCUGGCUCAGAUUGAACGCUGGCGGCAGGCCUAACACAUGCAAGUCGAGCGGUAACAGAGAGUAGCUUGCUACUUUGCUGACGAGCGGCGGACGGGUGAGUAAUGCUUGGGAACAUGCCUUGAGGUGGGGGACAACAGUUGGAAACGACUGCUAAUACCGCAUAAUGUCUACGGACCAAAGGGGGCUUCGGCUCUCGCCUUUAGAUUGGCCCAAGUGGGAUUAGCUAGUUGGUGAGGUAAUGGCUCACCAAGGCGACGAUCCCUAGCUGGUUUGAGAGGAUGAUCAGCCACACUGGGACUGAGAC